rnacentral:rRNA from 1 species
AAACUUGGCUCUGAUCUAUUAAUAUAACAAGGACUAAAAAAUACACAUGGUUUUUAUGGAAAGAGGCGAGGUAAAAAAGAAAGAGGCAUAGAUAAAUAAUUUAAGUCUAAAUUCUUUUUUAAAGUAUUAUAAAUAUAUAAGAUGCUUUGAAAAGUCCCGCUAACACCAGUGCCUAAGGUUAAUUAAAAAGUGUAAGCUUGAAUUAAUUUAGUACAUUAAAUCUGGUUAACUUGGUGCCAGCAUCCGCGGUUAGACCAAGAGAUUAAGUUAUAUAUUAAGGUAAAAAGACAGUUAGGCAUCAAUUAAUGUAGUUUGUUGAACAUCUAUAAAAAGGUAAAAUUUGAAUAUAGAUAGCUAAUUUAAUAAUAACUAAUUUGCUGAAACUGUGAUAGUCCUGAGGGAAACUGGGAUUAGAUACCCCAUUAUUCUUGACUGUAAAUCUAAUAAAAUUUACCAGAGCACUAUGAAUAUUAUAAAAAAUUUAAAACUCAAAGGGCUUGGCGGUGUUUUAGACCUAUCAGGGGAACCUGUCUCAUAAUCGACAAUCCACGUUGAACCUAACCCUAUUUUGUAUCCAGUUUGUAUACCGUCGUCGUCAGGUAACUUUUAAAAGAUUAGAAGUUAGCAAUAAAAAUUUUUUAAAUUAAAACGUCAGAUCAAGGUGCAGCUAAUAAUAGGGCGAGGAUGGGUUACAGUUAUUUAAGUUAUAAUUACGGAAAACUACAUGAAACAUAGUUUGAAGGAGGACUUGAAAGUAAAAUAAAAUAUAUAGACAAUUUGAAUAUGGCUCUGAAACGUGCACACAUCGCCCGUCGCUCUCGUUGAAAAAUGAGAUAAGUCGUAACAUAGCAGAGGUAAUGGAAAUUGUCUCUAGAU